rnacentral:rRNA from 1 species
AUUGAACGCUGGCGGCAGGCCUAACACAUGCAAGUCGAACGAGUGGCGGACGGGUGAGUAAUGUCUGGGAAACUGCCUGAUGGAGGGGGAUAACUACUGGAAACGGUAGCUAAUACCGCAUACCAUCAGAUGUGCCCAGAUGUGAGUAGCUAGUUGGUGGGGUAACGGCGCACCAAGGCGACGAUCCCUACCUGGUCUGAGAGGAUGACCAUCCACACUGGAACUGCGACACGGUCCAGACUCUGACGGGAGGCAGCAGUGGGGAAUAUUGCACAAUGGGCGCAAGCCGGAUGCAGCCAUGCCGCGUGUAUGAAGAAGGCCUUCGGGUUGUAAAGUACUUUCAGCGGGGAGGCGGGAGCCGAAGAAGAAGCACCGGCUAACUCCGUGCCAGCAGCCGCGGUAAUAG